AUUAUAUUCUAUUUCGUUUAAUAAGAACGAUUUUGCGUUACGCGUCGAACACGCGGCGAACACGGAUAACACGAUACUGAAAACGCGGCUCGAACGAAGGAGACCAUAUGUAAACUCUACUACGUAGCAAUUGUGGCGCGCAAAUGUGUGUUAUGAUGAGGGCAUCACGCUAUUUAUAUAUACGUGGAACGAAAGAACGAUUAAAGAUAUCUAAGAAACAUAAGAUAUUGAUACGAAUUGUUAUCAGAUAAAGUAAAAAAUUACUUUAAUUAAAAUCGAAAAUUAGUCAAGUAUACAAAAACAAAUCAUUGUGAAAUCGUAGCAAACGUAUUCUUUUUUAUACCGACUUUAUAUUCAAAUGAUGUUUUAAAUGGAAUAAUAAUCGAAAAAAUAAUCGAAAAAUUGUUGCGAAUAUAUCUCAAUUUAUAUAAAAUAAAGUAAUAUUAAAAAAUAACGAUAACUGAGAAAUAUUAUCAUUACACGAUAACAAUAAUCUUAACAAAGAAAAGUGAAGAUUGAAAUCGAUGAGUGUACAAAAAAAUAAUAAAAUAUUCGUUCUUUCUCCAAAUAUGGCAAAAUAUUUGUAACAAUACCGUUAUAACUGAUGUAGAAACUUUGAAAAAUCCUUUUGAAAAUAAUUCUACAAUUUUUCCCAAGCUAUCCAUUAACGUGGAAUUAAAAUUUUAUGAAAGAAUACAAUAUUUGAUACAGAUAAAAAUAGUUUGCAUUUUGACAACAAUUUUAGACGAUUAAAGCUUUUAUUGCAAUUUAAUAAAUCUGUAUAUUUUGACAACAACUUUUACUUUGGAUGAUUGAAACGCGACGAUAUAUUCAUAACUUUCAUUGCGAUUCAAAUCUGUCUUUAUAUUUCGAAUAUAAAAAUAUAAAAUCUUCCCUUUCCUUCGUUUCACAAUUUCAAUUUAUUAAAUUAAUUUAUAUAAUCGUCGAUUCGUACUUGUAAGAAUUGUUGAAACGUAAUUAACAUUAAUUAUACAUCAUUAUGCAAAUAUCACGUUACGGCAAUCACAUUGUUGACUUCGCAAAUCGAAUACAUUUUUCGACGAGAUAUCAUGAAAUCGACACGAUUCACAUUUCAUUCGAUCAUCGUUCCAAGAUCAUUCAAAUGCGUGUACAAACACAUGGCUCGAAAGAUAAAACAGAAAACUAAUAUUACACAAGUAACAAGAUUUUCUGCAACUCGGAUAACCGAUUAAUACAAUAUUUAAAAACAAAA